GAGAGGACGAGGAAGAACGCAGAUAAAUAAACCAUUAUUGUGAUAUGAGAAGACAAUUUUCUCACUGCUGUCGCUCAACACUCGUAAUCCUGCCCAGUCCUGCCGAGGAGGUGCACUUGAGAAGACGUAACUAUACAGCAAAAUGGAGUCAAGGUCAUUCAGAAUGAAGUGGUUCACAAUCAUCGCGCACGCUUCAUGGCCGUGCUUUGAGAGGGCAGGUAUCAGCUUCAGCAGAGCUCUCAUGUCCUGAGCACCUGGCACAGUGAAUUAAUGCGGUUCAUGGGACUGGAAAGUGGCUCAAGCUCCGGUGCGUUUCUGCAGCCAUCUCAGCUCACACGCAGAUAUACACUCAGAUCUAUUGUUAUCCACGAUCAGAACAAGAUGUUCCUGAGCUUCCAGGAGAGAAGAAGACAGCUCAGGAAUCUAAAGCUGCUAGAGAGACAAGGAAAAUAUGCAGGGGUUAGGGUAUAUGUGCGUGUGUGUGUGUGUGUGUGUGUGUGUGUGUGUG